UACGUAGGUGGCAAGCGUUGUCCGGAUUUACUGGGCGUAAAGGGCGCGCAGGCGGUCGUUCAAGUCGCGUGUGAAAGCCCCCGGCUCAACUGGGGAGGGUCACGCGAUACUGAUCGACUCGAAGGCAGGAGAGGGAAGUGGAAUUCCCGGUGUAGUGGUGAAAUGCGUAGAUAUCGGGAGGAACACCAAUGGCGAAGGCAGCUUGCUGGGACGGUACUGACGCUGAGGCGCGAAAGCGUGGGGAGCAAACAGG
rnacentral:rRNA from 1 species